GUAAGAGCUCGUAGGCGGUCUGUCGCGUCUGCUGUGAAAACCCGAGGCUCAACCUCGGGCCUGCAGUGGGUACGGGCAGACUAGAGUGCGGUAGGGGAGAUUGGAAUUCCUGGUGUAGCGGUGGAAUGCGCAGAUAUCAGGAGGAACACCGAUGGCGAAGGCAGAUCUCUGGGCCGUAACUGACGCUGAGGAGCGAAAGGGUGGGGAGCAAACAGGCUUAGAUACCCUGGUAGUCCACCCCGUAAACGUUGGGAACUAGUUGUGGGGUCCAUUCCACGGAUUCCGUGACGCAGCUAACGCAUUAAGUUCCCCGCCUGGGGAGUACGGCCGCAAGGCUAAAACUCAAAGGAAUUGACGGGGACCCGCACAAGCGGCGGAGCAUGCGGAUUAAUUCGAUGCAACGCGAAGAACCUUACCAAGGCUUGACAUAUAGAGGAAACGUCUGGAAACAGUCGCCCCGCAAGGUCUCUAUACAGGUGGUGCAUGGUUGUCGUCAGCUCGUGUCGUGAGAUGUUGGGUUAAGUCCCGCAACGAGCGCAACCCUCGUUCUAUGUUGCCAGCACGUAAUGGUGGGAACUCAUGGGAUACUGCCGGGGUCAACUCGGAGGAAGGUGGGGAUGACGUCAAAUCAUCAUGCCCCUUAUGUCUUGGGCUUCACGCAUGCUACAAUGGCCGGUACAAAGGGCUGCAAUACCGUGAGGUGGAGCGAAUCCCAAAAAGCCGGUCCCAGUUCGGAUUGAGGUCUGCAACUCGACCUCAUGAAGUCGGAGUCGCUAGUAAUCGCAGAUCAGCAACGCUGCGGUGAAUACGUUCCCGGGUCUUGUACACACCGCCCGUCAGUCAUGAAAGUCGGUAACACCUGAAGCCGGUGGCCCACCCUUGUGGAGGGAGCCGUCGAAGUGGGAUCGG
rnacentral:rRNA from 2 species